UGGCAUUUUAGACAGGAGUCUCCAGUUCUCCUCAUUUACUGGCAAAUUAAUUAACUCCUCUUUCCUUCUCCUCAUACCACUCCUCAUUUUCAGAUGCAGCCUCAGGGACAAGUGCUUUUGGUAACAAAGAUAGCUAAAUGAUGCCAAGCGUUUGGUAAUGAAGACGGCUAAAUUAUGCCAUGGUAACAAACAACCCCAAAUCUCAGUGGUUUAAGACAAUGAGAGUUUAUCUCUCCGUCAAAUUACGCAUCUCAUCCAGGUUUAAGGAAGUGUGGACCCUGCUGACUCCAUACACUCUAUAGAGACCAGGCUGACUCGGUCACCAGAGCAGGGGAAGAGAAAAGUGGAAAAUCUCUUUUGGAUUUUUCACUGUCUCACUGCAGAAGUGACACACCCUUUUCCACUCAUCUUUCAUUGGUUAGUGUUGUGGCCUCACCUAACUGCAAGGGGACCAGGCAAUGCAGGGGAGAAAAUUGAAUGCUUGGAGAGACUUGCUAUAUCUCUGCCACAGCUAGAAAGCUGGUUUUAACACUUUAUCACCAUCCCAAACCAACCUUCCCUUGCAAACAGGUCUUGCUGUGAGGGUGAGGAUAGUGAGCUGCCUGCCCCCCAUUCAUAGACAACAAUGGUUUCCAGGGGCGUCUCCUGGGGGUGAUGACCAGGUCUGGCUAUCUUGUAGGAGCCAUUCAGUGGCCUCCACCUACUCUGUACAGACAGAGCCUAGCCCUUCUGAUACUAAGGUUGUUUUCUUUUGAGUUUCAGAAACAUUCCUGCUCGCCGAGGAACUUCAAAUUACAUUUGUGUGUGUGUGUGUGGACACAUCAGAUGGACAAAAUGAUUCCAGUGAACUGACUGCUCCAAUUAUGAGCUACAGCCACCCCUGGCACCAUGUACCAUUGCUUCUGGAGAUGUGUCCUAGUGAUUGUGUCCUUACUCUUCUGCAGCUUCUUCCUCCACGACAAAAUCCAAAACGUGGAAUAUAAACUUCUUUUGAAAGAAAAGGACAAAGCUUGGCAAAUACUUGUACAGCAAAUCAGCUCUGAAAGCAAGAACCAUCUGGAAACCUUCAAGGAGAUGCAGCAGAGGUCUCCUUUACUCCAACACGCCAAGUACAGGUUCCUGGCGGGAGCCCCUCCCCAGCAAAAGAAACUGCUGACGGUGGGCAUUUCCUCGAUGCAGCCACCUGGUGGCAGCCACCUCUUGGACACCCUGCGCUCCGUGUUUGAAGCGACCUCGGAACCUGAGUGUAGGUCUAUAGUGGUGCUGGUCCACCUGUCAGAUCCUGACCCCGAGUGGCUCAACCAAACAGCCGCCAAUAUUUCCAGGCUCUUUGCACCACACAUUGAGGCCAGGGAGCUGCUGGUGAUCCAUGGGCUUCUCGGUGGCUCUCCUGUCCCAGGAAAUCUGAGUGACGCCAAUCACACCUCACCCUGCGAAGCACUUUAUUCCAGGCAGAAAGUAGACUAUGCCCUCCUCAUGAACUUUGCCAGCAGCCUCUCUGAUUACUUUCUGUUGAUGGAAGAUCACGUCCACUGCAGCCCCAAAUUUGUUUCUGCCAUCUACUGGGCGUUAUCGGCCUGGGAAGAGCUCCCUUGGGUGAUCCUGGAGUUCUCCAGCCUGAACAUGUCAGGGAAAGUUUUCCGCUCUAGUGACCUCUCCCGCCUGACCUCUUUCUUCUUCCUCUUCCUUAAGGGCACUCCUGCUCACUUGCUUCUAUCAAAUUUUAGUUUCCUCUUGGGCCAGACAGUUCCCAUUAGCCUUGCUCCAAAUCUCUUUCACUCUCUGGGCUAUAAUUUCACUUCCAGGAACACAUGUUACCAAGAGGAAAGGGAAGAGGAAGAGAAUCUCGGGAAACCCCACAACCCUCCUGCCUCUUUUUACACGAACAUGAUGUCAACAGGCUCUACUGUCCCAGAAUAUGCUUAUCUAAUGAAUGGGAGUUACUUCCAGACUCAGUAUCUCAUUCCAGGCCACAAAUACACUGUGGUUUUUCGUCAGCCUCACAUGGUAACCCACAUAAAAUUUCUGACUGGCAUCGGUAAGCUGGGGCUAUUUUACCUGCAGCAAGGGCAGGUGGAACUCGGCUAUGAGCCUAUUUUGGAGGAUAAUGCCUGUGCCCGCUAUGCCCUGCUGGGACCACUGGUAAAGGGGAAGUUCUAUCAGAAGGUACAUUAUGAAGAAGACUUUGUGGAGGCGGUGAGAUGCGUAAGACUGCUGGUGACAGCCCCUCAUGAUUCUGCAGUAUGGAUUAGAAAUAUCAGCAUCUGGAUUAAGUCUGGGAAAGGGUAGAGAUAAAAGGGCCAACAUGAAUUCUGGAACAAAUGGGUUUGGGAACAGCCUCAACACAGAUGAUAAGGAAUUAAAGCUUUGAAUUUGGUGAGGAGCAUCCCAUAUGCAGUCAUUGCAGGCUACUUAAUAUAGAUGACACAUCCUCAUAAGAGGUAGAAAAGGAACUGGAUCCAUCUGACCCCCAAGAGCCAGAGAGAUGAAAGUAUUCACCAAGAAAUUGCCCAGUUUUCUCUCCAUACAGAUCUCCCAUCCUUGGAUCUUUCCCUGAGACAUCUGAGCUUACCUCAAAAGAUUGUGGAUUGGGAAACAGCUCUACAAGUUCCCAAACCCAGCACCAUGAAAGCUUUGCUAUGGAAACUUAUCAUUAUUGCAGCAGCGGUGGUGCUCCCAGUCUUCUACUUCAUUGAUGAAAACCCCUUUGAUACUACAAGUUUCCUAUCUUGGAGGGAAAAGAAGAUGGUAGCUUGGCAGAGAGCCCGGAUGCAGACCAGCUUUGUUAGAACAAGCCACCUCAAAACCUUCAAAACUAUGCAGAGAAACUCAGAACUACUCAAAAAUGUGAGCUCCCGUAUCUUGAUUGGAGCCCUUCCGAUGGAAAAAAAACUGCUGACCAUAGGGAUUUCCUCGGCGUGGCAUCCCCGAGGGAGCAGCCACCUCCUGGACACCCUGCAAUCUCUCUUCUCUGCUUCCUCCCCGGCCGAACGAAGACACUCCAUUGUUCUGGUACAACUGGCAGAUCCUGACCCCAGGUGGCUGGAUGAAAUGAUCUCCAACAUCUCAACUCUCUUUAAAUCUUAUGUCCAGGCCAGACAGCUCGUAGUGAUCACUACUCCUCUCAACAGGUAUCUUCCCUUGAAGGGCCUUACGAAACACUUCAAUGACACCCCUGCCUAUGUCGUCUUGCGCUCCAAGCAGAACAUGAAUUAUGCCUUCCUCAUGAACUUUGCCACCAACCACUCUGAUUAUUUCCUGACGAUGGAAGAUGACGUGAAGUGUGCCCCUGGAUUUGUCACCCAGAUCGCUUCCAUCCUGUCUGCCUGGGAAAGGGAGCCUUGGGUGACUCUGGAGUUCUGUCAGCUGGGCUUCACCGGAAAACUCUUUCGUACCAGAGACCUCUCUGGCUUUGUUCGUUUCCUCCUCCUCUUCUACCAAGAAAUGCCCUGCAACAACCUCCUCUCCCAUUUCCGAGACAUUCUCAGGCAGAAAAAAGCAAUCCGGUUCUUCCCCUUCCUCUUCCAGCACAUGGGCAAGUACUCUCCCUUUGGAGGCAGAUUUGACAUGCUCAAAGGUGAAGAAUUUAAGGAAAAUGACACUGGCUCUCCCAGCAACCCUGCUGCCACCCUUUACACGGAUCUGAAUGCUACCGAUGGCUCUGUUCUCAUGAAUGCCUAUAGCUUGGAUGAGAGUUUCUUUUAUACCAAAGAGGCUACGGCUGGAAGCCAUCUGACUGUGCUUUUGAACAUACCUGCUGUAGUGUUCCGAGUUCAAGUGCUGACGGGCUCUGAACUGAAGAAGGAGAAUCAGUUGGAAGAGGGGCAAGUAGAACUGGGCUAUGACUCUACUAAUAGGAUCAAUGACUGUGAUGACUAUAUUCUGCUGGGCCUCCUCAUCAAUGGCAUCCUGGAUAAACACGUAUUAUCUGAAGAGUCUGGGAAGAAGGUGAAAUGUGUGAGAGUAGUGGUAACAGCCCCUCUGCCCUCUGGAUUAAUAGUCAGGCACAUCAACCUCUGGAUUAAGGAAACUGAGAAAUACACACAGAAGCCAUUGGAAGUUCUGGGUGUAGUCAGGUUGGAGUCUACAGAGGUAACAAAACAUUAAAGUCUUAAAAUUGGUCAGACACAUCUCUUUGCUGGUUCCUUUCAAGGAUUCUUAAUACAGAAGAACACAGCAUAUUGAAAGGCAGAGGAAGGGUCUACCAUCCAAAAUUCUUUCCUUGGAUCAAUAAUACCAGACUUCUACAAAGGACAGGAACAUGUGAGUAAGACUAACUGAUGCUCAUAUCCCAAGAUUCUAACAGUGCAUGAAAGAAUACAAAGGAUCUUUCCACUAACCAGAAAGUAAUACUUCCACCAGAUAGUAAAUUUAAAAAGUAUUAUAUCCCAGGUUGGGGGAUGAUGGCACAGAGUAGAGCCCCCACUAGAGACCUAAAAGAUACAGGGGUGGUGGUUUCUAUCAUAUGUCUGUUUCAUUCACUAGUCUGGUCCCUGCAGAAAUGAGAUAGACCCUGAAAAAUGACCAUAGACUGCCACAAACUCAUCCAACUAGUAACCCUGAUCACAGCUGCUGUGCAGACAUGGUAUCAUUGCUAAAGGGUAUUAAUAAGCCCUUGGGCAUAUGCUAUGCAGCCUUUGAUUUGGCAAGUUCAUUCUUCUCUAUUCUGAUCAGAAAUGGUUCACGUUCAUGUGAGAUGAUAAUAUUUACUCAUGUUUCUGCCCUAGAACUAUGUGAGCUUUCCUUCCCUCUGUCAUAAUAUAGUCCAAAGAGAUUUAUACUGCCUGGACAUCCCACAGAACAUCCUAUCAACCCAUUACCCUGAUGACAUCCUGCUGCUUAGGCAGGACAAGCAAGAAGUGUCUUAGAUGCUGGAGGCCUUCGUAAGCGGAUAAAAGACUGCAAAGCUGGUUUUGAAACCAUAUCCCCACCACACCCCAAAACAGGUGCAUGAUGUGAGGCCAGAUUUCAGAGAUGUUCCUGCUCUCUGGCCAGCCCUCAAGCCACAUUUUCUGUUAGAUGAAAAGAUGUCAAUGAAUAUAACACUCCAAACCUGGUGAAGACUCUCACAUGAUCAGAAAUUUCUAGUCACUUCCAGGCUUCCAUCUUUCUUACCGGUCUGGCACGGGGAAGAUAUACUAACAAGCAUUUCCCUUCAUCCUUCUGACUUGGUUUAAAACCUCAUAUAUCUGCCUGACAUCACCCUAAAAAGGAUCAGACACAAAAGUAAGUGUGGAGCUAAUAGACAAGACCCAGUUUACCAGCCAACAAAACCCAAAAGGAGUGUUCGGCAUGAGUCUGAAGUUUGGGG